CCUACGGGUGGCAGCAGUGGGGAAUAUUGGACAAUGGGCGAAAGCCUGAUCCAGCCAUGCCGCGUGUGUGAAGAAGGCCUUCGGGUUGUAAAGCACUUUCAGUGGGGAAGAAAGCCUUGGGGCUAAUACCCUCGAGGAAGGACAUCACCCACAGAAGAAGCACCGGCUAACUCCGUGCCAGCAGCCGCGGUAAUACGGAGGGUGCGAGCGUUAAUCGGAAUUACUGGGCGUAAAGCGCGCGUAGGCGGUCUGAUAAGCCGGUUGUGAAAGCCCCGGGCUCAACCUGGGAACGGCGUCCGGAACUGUCAGGCUAGAGUGCAGGAGAGGAAGGUAGAAUUCCCGGUGUAGCGGUGAAAUGCGUAGAGAUCGGGAGGAAUACCAGUGGCGAAGGCGGCCUUCUGGACUGACACUGACGCUGAGGUGCGAAAGCGUGGGUAGCAAACAGGAUUAGAUACCCGUGUAGUC
rnacentral:rRNA from 1 species